UCCCGUCUGCGGAGACGGCGCCCGGCGGCCGCCGCCCCGCUCGCGACGACCUGGGGUCCAGCCUGCAUCCGGCCGACGGGGGGCAGAGGCCUUUCCAUUUGCGCAGGAAGAGGAAAUUUGGACACAUAUCUAUAGAGGCAAGAGGACGUGAAGACAUGGGAAGACAGCCAUCUGCAAGCUAAGGAGAGACACCUCAGGAGACAUCAACCCUGCUGAAUUUGAUCUUGGACUUCUAGCCUCCAGAACUAUGAUGGUAAGACCAUUCUAAGCAGAGGGAAGAGAAUAUGUAAAACAAGUAACCAUCAGAGAUCACGAGUUUACUUGGGAAACUGUGAGUAGUUCAGCAUGACCAGAUCACUGGUCAUGCAAUAGGGAAGGGAGAUGGGGAAUUUGGGGGAAUGACGCUAGAGAGAUUGAAAGAGACCAGAAUCUGAGGUUUCAUGUGCUGAAUUAAACGGUGGAAAUUAAGGGGUAAAGAUACAGAAUUAAAGAAGACCUCCUACAUUGCGGUUAGUUCUCUCCAGUCAAAGUUAAUCAUUGGUGUACAACUCUUGGGACUCUGUCUCAUCCAGUUUCCCAUGUUAAUAACUAGUAGUAUUUCAAGAUGACAAUUACCAGUUGUCCAAGAGAUAGAGAAGUAUUUUUAAAAAGCUACAUUAAUCCUUUCCUCUCACAAGAUGUUUAUCCCCCUCAACAAGCUAAAUAUUUCUCUACUUAAUUUCAUGUCAAUAUUUUUUACUCCAUUCCCUUAUCCCAAGCUUCAAUGAUUUCUUCUCUCCAGUGUUUAUGUUUCAAAAAUAUCUGGAAUUUGUUACAGCAAGCGUGUGAGGUUGAUGCUUAUAUAAGCUGGAUUUAGGUAGAAUAUCAUUAUAGUCAUAUGCCCCACACAAUUUUUUGGUCAGUCAUGGACCACAUAUGCUAUGGUGGUUCCUUAAGUUUAUAAUACUGUAUUUUUACUGUACCUUUUCUACGUUUAGAUAUGUUUAGACACACAAAUACUUACUAUUGUGUUACAAUUCCUACAGUAUUCAGUACAGUAACUUGCCAUAUAGGUUUGUAGACUAAGAGUAAUAGGCCAUACCAUAUAGACUUGGUGUGCAGUUUGUGUAAAUACAAUGUUCGCACAACAACAAAAUCACCUAAUGAUGUAUUUCUCAAAAUGUGUACCCAUCGCUAAGCGAUGCAUAACUGUACUUUUUAAAGCCAAUAUCUCUUUUUCUCAAGUCUUAAUAUUUAUUUUGCUUGUUUUUAAUUACUGUUAACUUACCAAAAAUCUAAGGUACAGAUAGUUUAUCUUUGUUUUCCUUUCUGUCGUCUCCCCUAUUAUCUUUUAAUCCUUGACUCUCCCAUGGAUAGAAUAGAAUUAAUUGUUAUUCUGCAAUAAAAUAAGUUGUAAGUUUUAUACAAGCUGUGGCCAUGAUUGGCUUGUUCAUCAAUACGUUCAUCAAUAUGUUCCCAGUCCCUGAUAUAUGCCUGACACAUGGUUGAUCAUAAAUUUAUUUUAAAAGAAAAAUAAAAUUUGUUCAAUGUCUAUUUGCAUUCAGCUAUCUAUCAACAAGUCUUUAUGAGACAGUUGUUCUUAAAUUGGAGCAGUACUUCAGAACCCCCUGGGGAGCUUUUUCAAUAUACACAUGUGAUAGUGCUACCUCAGACAUACUGAAUCUGGGUUUAGGGGAUGGGCUGAUGGAGAGAUGUGGGCAUAAGUAUGGUGAAAAAGUUUCUAAUAUGAUUUUAAUAUCCAUCACUAGCUAAUAAGGACAAAAGUUAUUAUUUGUUUCAUUGCAGUUAAAUUCCUCCUCACCUGAGGCAAAGGAUGAAGAAAUUUGUUAGGUAGUGAGAGAAAUGUUUUGGAGUAGGGGAUUUUGCCUAGAACCUCGCAACACAUUCUUUAGCUGUUUGUAGUCAUAAGGCUGAGAUCAGUAUGCCCUGUAUUCUUAUCUUAAAAGGGUGGCUCCGGAAGGGUGAAAAGACCAAUGAUGUAGAAUCAAAAUCCCAGGACAUUAUUUUUCAUUUUCAUGUUUAUUAGGUCUGAGAUCUCAAGGAAAGUAUCUGAAAUCUCUGAGCUUCAGGAGUUCCCUCACCUAUAAAAUGAAAAUAAUAAUAUCUAUUUGAAAACCUAAGUAAAUAUGAGCAUUUGAAAAAUGAAUUGUUCUGAUUAACUUUGGUAUUUGAAGAGUACUACUUACCACUCUGACCUUUAAGGUGUGUGUUUUGCUUUAAAGGUGUAAACCAAGUGAUUACUCAUAGAAGAAAAGAGAAGCAAAUUUUCUAGUAGGUGACUUCCAGAGUCAGCUGUCCUCAUAACUAAAAUUACUGCUAACUGAUAAUCUCUUCCUGUAGCUCAAACCAAUGAUGCAGCUGCAAUGGCUUUUGGCGUUGACUUUCUUAACUGCUCCUGGAGGACACAGCAGGUCUCUCUGCUGUGUCUUUUAAGCCUCAUGGUAUUAGCAAGUUGAUGGUUUUUCAUCACUAGAGAUUUUUGCCCUCUGUCUUUGUCAGGGAACUUUUCAUUUCAAACAACCAAAACUGCUUUAGCUAGUUUGCUCUAAACAUGAGGAAAUGAAAAAGAUUACAGUGAAUAUCAUGAGGCUCAAGGGAAAAGAAGUGCUAUUGGGCCUCAUAAAGGUCUUGGAUCAAGAGCUGGAAAGACACAGGAGCUGAGACAUACCAGAAAGCACCAACCAAGUCUUACAGAUGUGGGCGCUUUGCAAUGAUCAACUCUUGUUUAACAUAGGGAAUAUGAAACAUUGAAGGGCAGAGAAGAUCUGUAAAAAGCAGGGAGGACAUAUACGGCCUUGAGUAUUUGGCUGUCUUAGCUAUAAACAUUAAUAUGCUUUAAAAUCUUAUUUUAAAAUUUACUUUGAAUUUUUUGUUUGUUUUAAAAUCAAUAUGAGUGCUUAACUUAAAUUUUGGACAAGAGGAAAAAAUAAACAAAAUCCUCCAUAUUCCUAUCAUCUGAGCACAAUAACUAUCUUUUGGAGUGUUUUCUUAUGACUUUUUCACUCACAAACACACAAAUGACGGCAAGUAAACCUUGAUGAGGGCUUGGAGUUGAGGCAGCCGCAAUUCCUCCCUUACGAAGGCCCAAGUCUUCGGAAUCCAUUGUGACAUUCAAGGGAAGGUGCUAGAAUUUAAACUUGAACUUUCCUUCUGAGAGUGUCCUGAUCUACCAGUGAAGAAAGUCAUUCAGGUUUGGCUGGUGUGAAUUCUUAUGGAGGCUAAAGGCAAUGGUUGCCUAGGCCCCCAAUGUGGAAAGGGUGCCAGCCUACUAGGGCGACUACUCCUGGAUCCCAGAAGGUGAUGGGAAGUACCAGAGAGUGGCCACAGGGCAGCUGGUAGUGGCAUUUCCCAGGACCUUAGAGAAAUGCACAGGAAAAACUGUGCUACUAUUACAUAAGCUAUUAAAAAUCAAACAGAAAAGCUGAAAUAAAAAUGGUAAAUUUAACAGGCCCAGUAUAUGAUAAAAGUUAAAAAAAAAAAAGAGAGAUAUGGCAAGAAGAAAAUUAUCAAAACCAUAAGAAAACAUCUCAAAUUAGAAGAAGACAGACACAGGUAUUAAGAUAGAAAGAACACAUAGAAUUCAAAAGAGGAUAUAAGAAAAAACAAAUGACCCACACCUACACAUAUUUUCAUGAGAUUCAGAACUCCCGGGAAGAAAAGACAAUCUCAAUCAAUGUCACUAGUUUUCUUAAAAUAUAGCUCUACACCACCCCGGAAAUUCAGGUCACCAAAAAUAAUUUAUUUAAGUUCUAGUAACAGAUGGGAAAAAAAAUCAAAAGACAUUUUACAAAAUCUUUGCUUUUUAUUCUGUAUGGUAAGAGAUUAUUUAUGCUUAUUCCUCUGUAACAUAACAGAUGAACUUCCCAGUUCCAGUGUAGGACUCUGGUCCCUGGUUCUGGAGGGAGGGAACAGAGGAGAUCUCAUUGGAAAAUUAUUGUGUUUCUCUGUUGUAAUCUAUCUGAGACUACCUGAAGGACUGUCGCAAGGUGUUCGUCUCUGCUCUGCUUAAUUUGGAACUCGCUUAGGACAGACAUGUGGUGGGCAUUGAUCACAGACAUUCCAAAGUAAAGGAACAACCCACAGCCACCGGGGCUAGAGAUUAUGGCUAAAACAUUAAAGAGACUGCCUGAAGUCUGAGAAGAAAAGCUAGAGAGAGUUGUUUUUGUUUUUGGAAAUAAGGCCAUUGAAAAGCAUCCAUGUAUACUGGGGAAUUUGGAAAGUCAUGAAUCUGCCCAGGGCACAGGUUACAUGCUCAGAGAAGAUCUUAAAGACUCUAAGCUUUUAGCUCUGGCUAAUCUCUAGGUUCGGCACAAGCAGGAAGAGAAGUCUAGGUUUGGGAGAGAAUCUUUUUUUUUAAGCACCUGGCAUUCAGGAAGAUCUCUGCCAAAACACCAGUGAAACACAAGCUGAAGGAACAGAUGUAUCAGUGACAACAUGCAGAAAAGGAAAAUCCAAUCCUUAUAUUCAUAUGGGAUUGAGGGACCCUGAGUAGCCAAAACAAUUUUAGGAAAAAGAACAAAGCUGGGGAGUCACACUUCCCAAUCUUAAAACUUAUUGCAAAGCUAUUAACAGAAUUAUCAAAGUAGUGGGAUACCAGUGUAAAAGUAGAUGUAUAGACCAAUGGAAUAGAAUUGAGAGCUCGGAAAUAAACCUAUAUAUCUAUAGCCAAAUGAUUUUUAACAAGGCUGCCAAGACCAUUCAAUGGGGAAAGAUACCACAUAGUGCUCAGACAAGUGGAUAUCCACGUGGGAAAGAAUAAGGUUGGACCCCUACCUUACGCCAUGAACAAAAAUUAACUCUAAAUGUGUCAAUAACCUAAAUGUAAGAGAUAAAACCAUAAAACUCUAGGAGGAAAACA